UGGGGAAUAUUGCACAAUGGGGGAAACCCUGAUGCAGCGACGCCGCGUGAACGAAGAAGGUAUUCGUAUCGUAAAGUUCUGUCCUAUGGGAAGAUAAUGACAGUACCAUAGAAGAAAGCUCCGGCUAAAUACGUGCCAGCAGCCGCGGUAAUACGUAUGGAGCGAGCGUUGUCCGGAAUUAUUGGGCGUAAAGGGUACGCAGGCGGUUUAAUAAGUCGAAUGUUAAAGAUCGGGGCUCAACCCCGCAAAGCAUUGGAAACUGAUAAACUUGAGUAGUGGAGAGGAAAGUGGAAUUCCUAGUGUAGUGGUGAAAUACGUAGAUAGUAGGAGGAAUACCAGUAGCGAAGGCGACUUUCUGGACACAAACUGACGCUGAGGUACGAAAGCGUGGGGAGCAAGCAGG
rnacentral:rRNA from 1 species